rnacentral:rRNA from 1 species
CAGGCUUAACACAUGCAAGUCGAGGGGCAGCAUGGUCUUAGCUUGCUAAGGCCGAUGGCGACCGGCGCACGGGUGAGUAACACGUAUCCAACCUGCCGUCUACUCUUGGACAGCCUUCUGAAAGGAAGAUUAAUACAAGAUGGCAUCAUGAGUCCGCAUGUUCACAUGAUUAAAGGUAUUCCGGUAGACGAUGGGGAUGCGUUCCAUUAGAUAGUAGGCGGGGUAACGGCCCACCUAGUCUUCGAUGGAUAGGGGUUCUGAGAGGAAGGUCCCCCACAUUGGAACUGAGACACGGUCCAAACUCCUACGGGAGGCAGCAGUGAGGAAUAUUGGUCAAUGGGCGAGAGCCUGAACCAGCCAAGUAGCGUGAAGGAUGACUGCCCUAUGGGUUGUAAACUUCUUUUAUAAAGGAAUAAAGUCGGGUAUGGAUACCCGUUUGCAUGUACUUUAUGAAUAAGGAUCGGCUAACUCCGUGCCAGCAGCCGCGGUAAUACGGAGGAUCCGAGCGUUAUCCGGAUUUAUUGGGUUUAAAGGGAGCGUAGAUGGAUGUUUAAGUCAGUUGUGAAAGUUUGCGGCUCAACCGUAAAAUUGCAGUUGAUACUGGAUAUCUUGAGUGCAGUUGAGGCAGGCGGAAUUCGUGGUGUAGCGGUGAAAUGCUUAGAUAUCACGAAGAACUCCGAUUGCGAAGGCAGCCUGCUAAGCUGCAACUGACAUUGAGGCUCGAAAGUGUGGGUAUCAAACAGGAUUAGAUACCCUGGUAGUCCACACGGUAAACGAUGAAUACUCGCUGUUUGCGAUAUACUGCAAGCGGCCAAGCGAAAGCGUUAAGUAUUCCACCUGGGGAGUACGCCGGCAACGGUGAAACUCAAAGGAAUUGACGGGGGCCCGCACAAGCGGAGGAACAUGUGGUUUAAUUCGAUGAUACGCGAGGAACCUUACCCGGGCUUAAAUUGCAGAUGAAUUACGGUGAAAGCCGUAAGCCGCAAGGCAUCUGUGAAGGUGCUGCAUGGUUGUCGUCAGCUCGUGCCGUGAGGUGUCGGCUUAAGUGCCAUAACGAGCGCAACCCUUGUUGUCAGUUACUAACAGGUUCCGCUGAGGACUCUGACAAGACUGCCAUCGUAAGAUGUGAGGAAGGUGGGGAUGACGUCAAAUCAGCACGGCCCUUACGUCCGGGGCUACACACGUGUUACAAUGGGGGGUACAGAGGGCCGCUACCACGCGAGUGGAUGCCAAUCCCAAAAACCUCUCUCAGUUCGGACUGGAGUCUGCAACCCGACUCCACGAAGCUGGAUUCGCUAGUAAUCGCGCAUCAGCCACGGCGCGGUGAAUACGUUCCCGGGCCUUGUACACACCGCCCGUCAAGCCAUGGGAGCCGGGGGUACCUGAAGUGCGUAACCGCGAGGAGCGCCCUAGGGUAAAACUGGUGACUGGGGC